rnacentral:rRNA from 1 species
UACGUAGGGUGCGAGCGUUAAUCGGAAUUACUGGGCGUAAAGUGUGCGCAGGCGGCAGAGCAAGUCGAGUGUGAAAGCCCCGGGCUUAACUUGGGAAUUGCGCUCGAAACUACUUUGCUGGAGUGUGGCAGAGGAAGGUGGAAUUCCACGUGUAGCGGUGAAAUGCGUAGAGAUGCGGAGGAACACCGAUGGCGAAGGCAGCCCCCUGGGCUAACACUGACGCUCAGGCACGAAAGCGUGGGGAGCAAACAGG